rnacentral:rRNA from 1 species
CGGAGGGAUCAUUACCGAGUUUUCAACUCCCUAACCCUUCUGUGAACCUACCUAUCGUUGCUUCGGCGGACUCGCCCCAGCCCGGACGCGGACUGGACCAGCGGCCCGCCGGGGACCUCAAACUCUUGUAUUCCAGCAUCUUCUGAAUACGCCGCAAGGCAAAACAAAUGAAUCAAAACUUUCAACAACGGAUCUCUUGGCUCUGGCAUCGAUGAAGAACGCAGCGAAACGCGAUAAGUAAUGUGAAUUGCAGAAUCCAGUGAAUCAUCGAAUCUUUGAACGCACAUUGCGCCCGCCAGCAUUCUGGCGGGCAUGCCUGUUCGAGCGUCAUUUCAACCCUCGACCUCCCCUUGGGGGGGUCGGCGUUGGGGACCGGCAGCACACCGCCGGCCCUGAAAUGGAGUGGCGGCCCGUCCGCGGCGACCUCUGCGCAGUAAUACAGCUCGCACCGGAACCCCGACGCGGCCACGCCGUAAAACACCCAACUUCUGAACGUUGACCUCGAAUCAGGUAGGACUACCCGCUGAACUUAAGCAU